rnacentral:rRNA from 1 species
UACGGAGGGUGCGAGCGUUAAUCGGAAUUACUGGGCGUAAAGGGUGCGUAGGUGGUUUAUUAAGUUAUCUGUGAAAUCCCUGGGCUUAACCUGGGCAGGUCAGAUAAGACUGGUGAACUCGAGUAUAGGAGAGGGUAGUGGAAUUUCCGGUGUAGCGGUGAAAUGCGUAGAGAUCGGAAGGAACACCAGUGGCGAAGGCGGCUACCUGGCCUGAUACUGACACUGAGGCACGAAAGCGUGGGGAGCAAACAGG